UUUCAGCAGGUUCGCUAGGAGCAAUCACUUCAGAGCUAGCAGACUGCUCUGUGUUCUCUUCUGCGACUAGAAUAGUCUCAGCAAACGACUGCUCUACUGCAUUACAGUGCUCAGUCCUUGGAUUUUUAUCAGUUCUUCCAGGGAGCGUCUCUUGUUGCCUCUUGACACUCUCAGCUGUUUGAGCAAGCUGAACAUCGAUCUUUCUUAUAUGGAUCGCAAGAUUGUCAUACUUGUUAUUCAGCUCAGUGAACAUGUUGCCCAUCCUGGUGUCUAU
rnacentral:lncRNA from 1 species